GAGAGUUGAAUCAUAAUGCUGAAGAAAAUGCCAGACCUCCUUCUCCUCCACUCCAGCAGGUUCCACCACAACAAGGUCCUGCUGUUCCUUUUCCUCUUUACUACCCUGCUCCCUAUGCUGUUCCUUUUGCUGUUCCUGUUGCUGUUCCUUUUGCUGUUCCUAUUGCUGUUCCUGUUGCUGUUCCUGUUGCUGUUCCUGUUGCUGUUCCUGUUGCUGUUCCGCAUCCUGUUCCUUACGCUGAUGCUCAUGCUUUUCCUUAUGAUGAUCCUGCAUUUCUUCCUGCUUAUCCUUAUGCAUUUCCUCGUGCUGCUCCUGCUUUUCCUUUUCCUGCUCCUCCGUUUCCUCCUGCUGCUCCUGCGUUUCCUGAUCCUCACCCGGUCCCUGACCCUGUUCCUCCCGUUGAGCGUCAUGAAGCUCUUGAGGAGCUGAUUGCCAGGUACCGACACGGGCAGCCCGAAGAGGACGAGGACUCUGAGAUUGACGUCGUUGAAAUUGAAGAUGAAGAAGGGAUUAGGAUUCCUGAACUUGAUGUUGAGGACAUGGGGCCACUCACCGUGGAAGAUUCUUUUGAGAAGGACUCACCCUCAGCUUCUGGCCUCAGCUCCCGCACAAGGAGGCGCAGAGAAGAGAGCGACGGGGAGGAGGCUGCUGCUAAAAGGCCACGGUGGUCUAAAGAGAGUCACUCAGAUUGACUCUAUAAUGAGCUACAGGACUACAGGACAUCAGAGAAAUCACACAUUGGUCCUUCAUCACUGCCAAAUCACAGCUAUCAAGAACUUCACCACACCAGGACAUCUGGUGGGAUGGAUGCAGACUGGCCUUCACGUCUGGCAGGACCAGUGAUUCCCAAGGUAGCCUCUGCUUCUGGCAGGGCUGGUGACAACCCAGCUAGCGUCUUGCACUGGGAUCUGUGUAUAUCAUGUUGGCAGGGUUGAUGGAUUGACCCUUUUUUACUCCUUGGCUGGGCAACCAAAGCCCCAGGUAGCCUUUGCGUCUUGCAGGGCUAUCAAUAUCCCAGCUAGCGUCUUGCACUGGGAUCUGUGUAUAUCAUGUUGGCAGGGUUGAUGGAUUGACCCUUUUUACUCCUUGGCUGGGCAACAAAAGCCCCAGGUAGCCUUUGCGUCUUGCAGGGCUAUCAACAUCCCAGGUAGCGUCUUGCACUAGGAUCUGUGUUUAUCAUGUUGGCAGGGUAGAUGGAUUGACCCUUUUUUACUCCUGAGGGCUGGCCUUAGCGUCUGGCUGGGCAACCAAAGCCCCAGGUAGCCUUUGCGUCUUGCAGGGCUAUCAACAUCCCAGGUAGCGUCUUGCACUGGACUCUUUUACACCACCAACUCAUUUUUGGCACGGUGGCUGGAUCGACCUUUCUUUCAUCCUGAGGACCGCCCUUUGCGUCUGGCAGGGCCAGUGUUGCCCCAGGAAGCCCUCGCGUCUAGGAGGGCUGUCGACACCUCGUGCAUGGAGCCUUCACGCCUGGCAGGACAUGAACCCCUAGCUUGAUCAUGUAGAGAGAGAGAGAGAGAAGAAGCUGCAACGAAGAAACAUAAGACAAAGCACUAUAGUAUGCUCCAGUAUCAAUAUUCUCCAGAGGUAUAAAAUUCUACUACUCCUGCCAUUGACUCAACUCGACAAAAAAGGUAAGCAUAAGUCUUUGGAUUGUAAACAAGUGACUUAGAAUCAGAAUCAAAAUCAAAUCCUGUUUAUUCAAAUAGUAUAAUUUAUCCAUAAUUCAAAGAUAGUCUUACUAUUGUUUUUCUAUAUUAUUUCACUUUUAUCUUCCUCCAUCACCUGAGCUGCUGCUGUUCACCAAGGGGGAAAAAAAAGUGAGUACAAGCUUCUGACCUGAAGUAAAAAUAAUCUAUUGCAUAUGCUGCUCCUGUUUAGCUAUACAGUAUAUAUUAUCCCUAAUUAAAAAAAUAUAUCAUAUUCAUUAUUUUGUGAUUGAGAGACUAGUCAUCUUACUAACCAUUAUCUGUCUUCCUCUACUUUUAUCUUACUCGACCACCUGAGCUGCAAUCGUUCACUGUGGUUGGAAAAGGUGAGUACGAGCUUCUGACUUCAACAAGCUAACAUAUAAAGCCAGAGAAAGUCACGUUAUUUUACGGUUAUCCUUGUAAUAUCACUUAUUCAUGAAAUAAAAUAUUAUUUGUCUUACUGACCAUUAUCUCUUUCUUCUCUUUUCACACUCCACCAUCGGAGCUGCUGCCAUUCACUGUGGAUGAAUAAGGACAGCAGAUGUACUGUUUAAACUAGCUAACAUUCUGUGUGCUCUCAUUUAUACACAUAUCAUCACUUGUUCUCUUCUAUUGUGCUCUACCACCUGAGCUGCUGCAGUUCCCUGUGGACUAAAUGGGGGACUAUUGUACCUUUCAGUAAAGGGAUGAAAAGUCCCUUUUCUUGUAAUCGACUGCAUUAGUGUGUGCUGUGAAGUUAGCGCUCUGAUUGACCCAGUGUUCCUGCAGUUUCCACAGGGUUUCUUGACAACAAAGAUGAAAUGCUGACAUCUGACCCACAGGACAAGCUGGAGAGCAGGCAGAGAGGCUCAGUGUUCCUGCUGUACAUCCAAGUUUACCUCGACAAGAAAAGUUUGAACCUGACCCGAACAGAACGACGGCCAACCACAGGACCAGCUGGAGAUCAGAGCUCCUCAGUGUUUCUAAAUAUUGAUGCCGACAGCAGACAUGGGGAAAUAAACUUUAAAUUGAUACCUUU